rnacentral:rRNA from 1 species
CCUACGGGCGGCAGCAGUGAGGAAUAUUGGUCAAUGGGCGCGAGCCUGAACCAGCCAAGUAGCGUGAAGGAUGACUGCCCUACGGGUUGUAAACUUCUUUUAUAAAGGAAUAAAGUGAGGCACGUGUGCAUUUUUGUAUGUACGUUAUGAAUAAGGAUCGGCUAACUCCGUGCCAGCAGCCGCGGUAAUACGGAGGAUCCGAGCGUUAUCCGGAGUUAUUGGGUUUAAAGGGAGCGUAGAUGGGUUGUUAAGUCAGUUUUUAAAGUUUGCGGCUCAACCGUAAAAUUGCAAUUGAUACUGGCAGUCUUUCUUACAGUUGAGGUCGGCGGAAUUCGUUGUGUAGCCG